rnacentral:lncRNA from 1 species
AAGAAUUGUAAAUAAAGUGCAGGGUAAGUGAGAAUUGAAAAUGCCAGCAAUAACAGGGAAAAUGUUCAGUGAUUUUUAAGAAGGGGAAAGAAAAUUUAACUUCUAAAGGAUAGCUGCUGCUUUCUGAAUGGAAAAUUGAAGAGAAUCAAGAAGCUAUUUUUGUUCUCUAACUUUUCCUUGAGUUUUUUUUUUUUUUUUUUCCCUUGCAGACAUUGGUUAAAUUUCUUACUUUUUAUUCAGUUAUACCUUUAGUUUAGAAUUUAUUAUCUCCUGCUGGCAAUUGUUUGAAGGAUGGCAACAUUUAAUAUCUAUGUGGGGAAUAACCAUAGCACUCAUUUUUGGUGAUUCUCAGUUUAGAUAGAUGGCAGUUAGUGGAAGCAAGCAAUUGUGGCAAAAGGGAACCUUGUGUAACUGUCACAGUUCACAGUACUUGAAACCAGCCUGUCGACUGUGUAUCUCACAGCUCUCUCUUCAUAACCUAUCCAGACAUGGAACUGACAGUGUGCCUCUUUUUAUUUCCCUGAACCUGACCUUGGCUUUGUUGGUAACAGACAACUCUGCAUAUGAAUCAGUGUUCCAAGUAAUCCAGAAAGUGAGCCACUGCUGAGAACAAGAAGGAUCUGGAAAGCCACGAGUCAGCAGAGAAGCCAAGGAGACUCUAAGAUGUCUGGAGAGUCUCCAGAAUCAGCACAGCAUGCUCUCCACCAGGGCUCUGUCCUGCACAGGUAAGAUUGAAGUCUUUUCCCUCUCAGCCACUAUAUUGGAGAUGAAAUGUGUAUGAGUAAUUGAUACUGCUAGCCUGAGGGUCCAACUUCUAAUAUUGUCAUUUUUAAUUUUUUUUUUUUUAAGUUAGGUAUCUCCAUUAGAAUUCAAAGAUCCAUGAGUGUUAGUGUUGCCUUCAAAGUUGUCAUACUGGUAGGUUAUAUAGAUUUUUAAAAAACACUACUGCCACUUAUCAAGACAAUUGGAG